AAGUUGGGAUCUUCGUUCUGCAGCCGCUGGGCCACGUCCCAGAACACAGUGCUGCAGGCAACGUUUGUGCUCAGCAGGCGGUUAUCCACGGGAGCAGCGGGGAGAAGCCAUUCAGCAUACUUGAAGUUGUUCCUGCUUGCAUUUUCUCCCCCACUUCUUCCUUUGUAGGCUUUUCUUUGUUGUUGUUGUUUGUUUUUUAAUGGCAAGAAAGAAGAUAAAUAGCAAAGACUGCUGCAGGGGAAACACUGGGGAUACAACCACCUAAUUAUGAAUUUCCUGAGCGUGCAACAUGACCAGGAGCAACUGGACAGGAUUAGCAUUGUUUCUGCUGGCCCUGAGAGUGAGAGCCUGAGCCUGCAGCUCUGCCUUGUGAAUGCACCACGUUAAGCACCACAGACUGAGCCAGCCUGCUGCCCAGCACCUCCGUAACGUGGCUGGGGAGAAAACUCGUGCACGGCACACACCCAUGUUGUGUGGUACUGAGAAUGCCUGCGGGCAGUGCUCCCCAGUGGCAAAAUGUUUCCUCCUCGUCUGAUUAAUGCUUUUCCUUGAUCAGCUGGCCUGGGGAGUAAGCCACUAAAGAAGAGUUCAAUCUGUUAUUGAGAUAUAUCCAAUGUGGUUGUGGCAGAUGAGCUUCUCUUUGACUUCUGCUCCAAUGGUGAGACGAAAGUGAAGUAAGUGUGAAUUGUAAAUGCUUUACACGCGGCAGAGAAAUGCACACCACCCACCCACCACUACUCGUAAUGACUGCAGAGGGCAUCUCUCUGUUUGUGCUGGUGAGGGGACAGUUCACCCAACAUCGCCACAUCCUGAGCCUGUGCCGAUUCUUCAGACAAGACCCAGCCUCCCUCUGGCCCAUUUGAUAGAACAGAUACAAACCCAGAGUUUUCAUUUCCUUCCUCGGCUUUAUUUAUUUUCGUUUUCCUAUCUCCAGGUUUGUUUACUCUUCGCUUUAAUCUCUCAGUAAAUUUUUAGCUCAGAGAUUUCUUUCCUCUCUAAGCCAACUCCCUUUUCUCCUUUUCUCUCUCUUUUCCUUCACAAAGCAGCCCACAGGACCAAGUCAAGGCUUUACCACCCUGGUGAAUAAUUAAUCUCAUCUGAGUCUGUAACUUAAUCCAGCAUCAUCAAAAAGUCUGCAUGUUUGGGGUCACUAAUAAAACAAAACAUUUUUCUGCUU
ensembl:lncRNA